GGCAGGGGGAGGAGGAACGAAUAGGGUUUAGAUAGACACAGAAAUGAGUGCUGAGCAGACGGUACAACACGGCAGUCAGGAUGGCCGAGCGGUCUAAGGCGCUGCGUUCAGGUCGCAGUCUCCCCUGGAGGCGUGGGUUCGAAUCCCACUCCUGACAGGUGCUAGUUUUAGUUUUUCGAGUAUAAGUGUACGGUAAGUUUUCCUACCUGCUCUUUUAAAAUAUAAAUUUUCCGAGUUCCGGAAUAAAAGCGCUUUGUUUUUAUUAGCCACUGCAAGGAUAGCAAAAAGUACUCUGUACUCACAAAAUAAUUUCAGAACCUACUGGUGUUUUGAAAUCUCACGUCCUUUCCCUGUUUCUCCUCUGUCUCUAGUUGUCUUUCCCUCUCCCUCCUUCACAUGCAGAGUUGAAUGAAUGUUACUCUUCAGUUCAUGGCUCAUUAUCAUUACUGUAGGGCUCUUCUUUAUUUAGUUAUAGAUUUCUUUUUAAUUCCCUUUCCUCAGUCUCAUUCCCCACCUCAUCCUGACUCCCCAUAAGAAAUCACUGCAAGAGUUCCGGUCCGGCAGAGAGCGCGGAGAGACGCUGAGCGCGGCCCCGCUCCUCCUGGGCAUCCCAGGCCCUCCGGCCCCGGGUCGGCGGGUGAGCUAGGGGACCCCGAGACAGGCCGCGCCCUCUGCCCUGCAGAUACGGGAGGCCUCUGCUGUGACUGGGCCCAGGCCUUGAAGCGGCGUUGAACCUCUCUUCUCCACCCUACCUCGGUGACUGAUGGCGGCGUUGGCCUCUCCCAGCCCGUACCCCGCCGGCCGUCGGGUCUCCCGGCCCAAGCGUGCCGGGCGUGGCGGCGGGAGUGCCGGGCCGGGAAGCAUGCCGGCCGCUCGAACGCUGCGCGGCGGAGGCCGUUAAGGCGUGGAGGGCCCGGGAAGGCGGCCUAGGGACGCAGGCAGGCUCGGCCGCCUCUUUAGGCCACGGAACCGCCAGAUCUGGGUCCCGGGUGACCUCUCUGUCGCCGUUGGGCGAGACCUACCUAGUCCUGACGACAACGGACAAAGGCCUUAACGGGCCUGCGAGGUGAGCUAAGUCCCGAACGACAACGGGUGGAACGGUUAGCGGAUAUCGGGCGGUUGGUCUUCGUACUACCAGACCUCGCUGUCGGAAGAGAGAAAUGGUAGAAUGACAGGCCACGUUUGGCCCAUUGGAAAUGCCCACCACCCUCUGGGAAGAUUUACUGGCCGUUAUGGAAGGCCUGUGUAUAUAAUAUGAAAAAGCUGCUCUCAACUCCACCCUAACCUUUUAAUAGAAAACAUUUGUCACAUCUAGCCCUUCUAGAUGGAAAGAGGUUGCGGACGUAUGAUAGAGUUAGAAAGUCACACAUCUUGUAAAUUCUCAUUUAUUUAAAAGAAAUCGUAGAAAAUACAUGUCUUCUGGAAAUGACUUUUGGAAAUGGAGUUGUUAGACGGCCUCUGGAAGCGAUACGUCCACGUUUGUUCAGUGGGUUAGAUGACAUGGAGCUGGAAGACCCGAAAAGGAAGAAAAGAAGGUUCUAUGCUAGACUGGUCAUAUUUAGAAGAUAUUUUCGUAUUCUAUCCAGUAUUUUGUGUGCAUUUUAUUCCUCACUACUGUGUAUAUAGUUGACAAUGCUAAGCUUUUUGAAAUGUCUAUUCUUUUUAGAUAUUCUGAAGUGUCUGAUAUAUGUUAGAAUUAGAGGUAGUAAAAUCACAUUUUGUAAAUAUCUUUUUGUUACAAUUCAUAGAAAUGUUGUUUUUUGGGGGAAUGGCCAAAUCACCUCUUGAGUAAUACUCAUUGUGUUUGUGCAGUGGUUCAGGGGAACAGAGAGGAGGGGAGGUGCAGAGAGCUGUAUGCCAUCCUACUUACAGUGAGGCAGGAUGAAUCACUAUGUCUGUGCAUUUUGUUUUACUUAUCUGUGUGUAUAGUAUACAUAAAGGACAAAUGAGUCCUAAUUUACAACAUCUAGUCUUUCUGGAUGUUAAAGAGGUUGCCAGUGUAUGACAAAAGUAGAGUUUGUAAACUAAUAUAUUUUGUACAUUUUGUUUUACAAGUCCUAGGAAAGAUUGUCUUAUGAAAAUUUGAGCAUUCUUGCCCACUGGGUUGAUGGAGAUAGGAAGGGUUAUUGGCCAGAAUGUUCACAUUUGGAAGACUCUUUCAUAUUAUAACUGUUGUUACAUGUUUGCAGUUUAUUCAAGACUGCUGUGUACAUAGUGGACAAAUUAACUCCUUACUUGAAACAUCUAGUCUAUCUAGAUGUUUAGAAGUGCCUGGUGUAUGUUAAAUGUAGAGGCAGUAAAAUACCACUUUGUAAAUAUCUUUUUGCUAAAAUUCACAGGAAAUGCUUUUGGAAAUUGAAUUGCGAAGCCACCUUUGUAAGCAGUAUAGUACUGUCUAUACUUGUUCAAUGGUUUAGAGGAGGUGGGAGGGAAGAAAUUGCAAAAGAUAAUAUGCUGGUGUGUUCAUACUUGGACAUUUUCAGACACCAUUUUUCUGUAUGUUUUGUGUGUUUUGUUUUGCUGUGUAUAUAGUGUAUAUAAUGGACAAAUAGUCCUAAUGUUUCAACAUCUAGUCUCUUGGUGUUAAAGAGGUUGCCAGUGUAUGACAAAGUAGUAAAAUUAGCAUAUUUUGUA